UGCAGUUGUAGCUCAGUGGUAGAGCACUUGCCUAGAACGUGUGAGGCACUGGGUUCGAUCCUCAGCACCAAGUAA
rnacentral:tRNA from 1 species